rnacentral:tRNA from 1 species
GGGGAUAUAGUUAAAUAUAACAUUUAAUUUGCAGUUAAAAAGUACCAUAUGGUUAUUCUCA